AGCAAACUCAAAGUGUUUAAAGGUCUCUGUGGUUCAGCACCUCCAAAAGGCCCCCCUAGCAAUUCCUUAUUUUCAUUAUCUAGGAAAAGACGUAUCUUUUUAUUGAGAGCAGGAGAGGGAUGGGAAAUGUGGGAACACAAAACUAGUAAGAGAUGGAAAGGCCUGACAGCCCAGACAGGCUCUGGCGUCCUUUUGGCACAGGACUAUGUAUGGGGAAUGUGUCCCUGCUCUCUGCCAUUCGGGUGUUCCUUCACAACGAGUGCCACAGCUGCCGGCAGCUGCCCAGCAGUGUUCCACGUCCCAUCCGUUCCGAACGCUGAGCUCCCGGUGUUGGCAGCGGUCACCGCAGGGCUCACCCGUAACUCCGGGGUUUUCCCAGUGCCGCUGCCGGGCCGCAGCUGCCGAGUGUCCCCAGGAGGAGCUCACAGGGUCCCGGCUCACAGGCACCCGGGACAGGGCGGCUCCAGGCCGGCGGUGUCUGCCCCGCGUGCCGGGCUCCCCGGGCGGACACGCGGUGCUGCCUGCGGAGCCUGGCCCACCGCGGCCCCUCGGAGCCCGCCGAGUCUCCCGGAUCCCUCGGAACUCCACAGAACCUCCCGGAUCCCUCAGAGUCCCCCGGGUCCCUCAGAGUCCCCCGGGUCCCUCAGGACCUCCCGGGUCCCUCAGAAUCCCCCCGGGUCCCUCAGAGCCCCCCCCGGUCCCUCAGAACCUCCCGGGUCCCUCAGAGUCCCCCGGGUCCCUCAGAGCCCCCCCCCGGGUCCCUCAGAACCUCCCGGGUCCCUCAGAGCCCCCUCGGGUCCCUCAGAACCUCCCGGGUCCCUCAGAGCCCCCCCGGGUCCCUCAGGACCUCCCGGGUCCCUCAGAGACCCCCCCGGGUCUCUCAGAGCCCCCCCGGGUCCCUCAGAAACCCCCGGGUCCCUCAGAAACCCCCCGGGUCCCUCAGAAACCCCCGGGUCUCUCAGAACCCCCCCGGGUCCCUCAGAAUCCCCCGGGUCCCUCAGAGCCCCCCCGGGUCCCUCAGAGCCCCCCGGGACCCUCAGAACCCCCCGGGUCCCUCAGAAACCCCCGGGUCCCUCAGAACCCCCGGGUUCCUCAGAACCCCCCGGGUCCCCCCCGCGCGCACAGCACCCCCCAGCGGUCACGGGGCUUCCCGCUCCGGGAGCGUUCAUUGGCUCAGUGCCCAGUGACGUCACGGGGCACGGACAUUCCCUAUUUGGUUUGGGGGGGGCUCGCGCCGCCGGCUGCUGGCGGUGAUUGGCGCACGUGGUUCCGACCGCUGAUUGGAUGCUGCUCCUCCC
rnacentral:lncRNA from 1 species